rnacentral:rRNA from 1 species
GUGAACGCUGGCGGGAGGCCUAACACAUGCAAGUCGAACGGCAGCACAGUAAGAGCUUGCUCUUACGGGUGGCGAGUGGCGGACGGGUGAGGAAUACAUCGGAAUCUACUUUUUCGGGGGGGAUAACGUAGGGAAACUUACGCUAAUACCGCAUACGACCUACGGGUGAAAGCAGGGGAUCUUCGGACCUUGCGCGAGUGAAUGAGCCGAUGUCGGAUUAGCUAGUUGGCGGGGUAAAGGCCCACCAAGGCGACGAUCCGUAGCUGGUCUGAGAGGAUGAUCAGCCACACUGGAACUGAGACACGGUCCAGACUCCUACGGGAGGCAGCAGUGGGGAAUAUUGGACAAUGGUCGCAAGCCUGAUCCAGCCAUCCCGCGUGGGUGAAGAAGGCCUUCGGGUUGUAAAGCCCUUUUGUUGGGAAAGAAAAGCAGCAGGUUAAUACCCCGCUGUUCUGACGGUACCCAAAGAAUAAGCACCGGCUAACUUCGUG